UAACAAAGUUGCUUGGGACUUGCUCUCACCAUCUUGUGCUGCCCUCCCCAAACUUCUGCAAACCCGGAGCUCUAGACCACACAGAUUCCCUUUAAGAGAGCCCUGUGAGGACAUUGGUGAAAGGUCACUGCCUUAAGGACACACCAUGGAACACAGUGAUGGUAGCAGCUCUCCUCAAGGAGAAAAUAAAGGUGGAGAUUCUUCCCAGGGGAAUUUUGGAAAGGAGAACUUUCAUGAUGAACAUGAUGGCAACCCCUCUACCUUACAACCCAAUAGUAGGAGUGUGAAAUGCCAUAGUGAAUACCAAGAUAGAAUUCCGC
rnacentral:lncRNA from 1 species